AGUGGAAAUGGUGAAUUUCUAGUUAUAAUUUUAUUGUUUAUAGGACUGUUUGUUGAGGUUGUGGAUGUUUAUGUUCAUGAUUCAGACUGUGACUGGUUUCAAAUGUUCACAGAGGUCUAGGUGUUCAUAGAGGUCUAGGUGUUCACAGAGGUCUAGGUGUUCACAGAGGUCUAGGUGUUCAUAGAGGUCUAGGUGUUCAUAGAGGUCUAGGUGUUCACAGAGGUCUAGGUGUUCACAGAGGUCUAGGUGUUCAUAGAGGUCUAGGUGUUCAUAGAGGUCUAGGUGUUCACAGAGGUCUAGGUGUUCACAGAGGUCUAGAUGUUCACAGAGGUCUAGAUGUUCACAGAGGUCUACGUGUUCACAGAGGUCUAGGUGUUCACAGAGGUCUAGGUGUUCACAGAGGUCUAGGUGUUCACAGAGGUCUAGGUGUUCACAGAGGUCUAGGUGUUCACAGAGGUCUAGGUGUUCACAGAGGUCUAGGUGUUCAUAGAGGUCUAGGUGUUCACAGAGGUCAAGGUGUUCAUAGAGGUCCACGUGUUCAUAGAGGUCCACGUGUUCAUAGAGGUCUACGUGUUCACAGAGGUCUAGGUGUUCAUAGAGGUCUCGGUGUUCACAGAGGUCUCGGUGUUCACAGAGGUCUAGGUGUUCACAGAGGUCUACGUGUUCAUAGAGGUCUAGAUGUUGGUGUUUCUUCAGCACAGAAUUCUUCUCAAUAGAAUGACUGAAAUAUUGAAAGUAACCAACCUAAAACUCCCUCAGCACCUUCUCUGUUCUCAGUCCCAGCUCUUAGUUAUGAUUCUCGUCGCCGUUCCUUCGUUAA